rnacentral:tRNA from 1 species
GCCGGGAUGGUGGAAUUGGUAGACACACGGGACUUAAAAUCCCGAGGACGGAAUCGUCCGUGCGGGUUCGACUCCCGCUCCCGGCACCA